rnacentral:rRNA from 1 species
UAAAGUCUGGCCUGCCCACUGAAUUAUUUUUAAAGGGCCGCGGUAUACUGACCGUGCGAAGGUAGCAUAAUCAUUAGUCUUUUAAUUGAAGGCUUGUAUGAAUGGUUGGACAAAAAGUAAUCUGUCUCAGUUAUAAUAGUUGAACUUAACUUUUAAGUGAAAAGGCUUAAAUACUUUAAGG